UACGUCAUAUAAGAUUUAAACUAUGUUGAAUAAUUAAUGAAAGUAAAUUGUUACUAUAAGUUUUUAUUUAUACAAUUUGUAUUAAAUGGCAGGAGAAGUUGUAGUUGAUGCUUUACCAUAUAUUGAUCAAGGAUAUGAUGAACCUGGAGUCAGAGAAGCGGCUUUGGCUAUGGUUGAAGAAGAAACACGUCGCUAUAGACCAACGAAAAAUUAUUUAGAACAUUUGGUAUCAUUAAAUAUAACUGCUUUUGAAACAGAAGUAAUGAAACAUGAAUUUGAACGAAUGCAAAACCGUUUACCUAUGGAAGUACUUAGUAUGAAACGUUAUGAAUUACCUCCACCUCCACCAGGUAAAAUGAAUGAUCUUGCAGCAUGGAAUGAAAGUGUAGAAAAUAGCAGCGCACAAUUAGAACAUCAGGCUACAAGAAUUUGCAAUCUUGAAUUAAUGAUGGAAUAUGGAUGUGAAGCAUGGAAAUCUUAUUUAGAAAUAUUAGUGCAAUUAGUAAAUCAAGCCCAAAAACAAUUACAAGCAUUAAGGAAAAAGAUACAAGAAGUUAAUUGGCAAAGAAAAUCUAUGCAAACUCAAGGAGGAGAAAAAUUAAGAGCAUUGGAAGCACAAUGGGUGGGAUUAGUAUCAAAAAAUUAUGAGAUUGAACAAGCAUGUGUACAUUUAGAAGAAGAAAUACAAAAAUCUAUGAUGAAUAAGGGUGAAGGAGUAGAAAUCAAUGAUGUACCAGGAGAGGAAGAACCUGAUGUUCCAGAAAAAAGUGCAACAGAAGUUAUGGCAACAGAAAUGGAUCAACAAGAACAAGAAAAUCAAGAACCCCAAAACAAUGCAUAAAAAUAUAAAUGUAUAAAAUUAUGAGUUAUAUUGGAAAGUCUUGUAUGGUAUCCUAGAGUGUCCAUAGAAAAUAUAAUAUUUUUUAUAAAGUAUUUUUUGUACAAAUAUACCAAUAUAUAUUAAUAAAUAAAUAUAAACAAUACAUAAAUAUCAUAAAAAUUAAUUUAUAAAUAUUAUUUAUCGAUUGUCAUUAAUAUUGAAAUUAUCGUCGAACAUUAAUAUAAAAGAGAUAAUUUAUCACAAUGCCUUAUGGUAUUUCAUGGACUCGAUAUAUUUGUCUCGUUACAUCAGCAUUUUUUGCAACAGCAGCCGGCUCGCAAGUUGUGCAUCUUAUAUAUCGACCGCUUGAUGAUUUAGAUGAUCUUAUAGAAGAAGCAUUACAAAAAAAACUAUCAGAACA